UUUCCUCCGGCGACGGAAUAGAUCGUAGGCAGCCAGUCUGUGAUGUGCAUCAGUUCAUCGGAGACUCUCGAAACGUUUUUCAGUAAGGGAGAAUAAAUGCACGCGGACGAUCUGACCCCCCCGUCAAACAUUGAAAACUUGAGCUGGAAUCAUCGCCACGUCAGGAUUUUCCGGUUCCCCACUGUGCGGUGCGAGAUGAGCGAUUUGAAGAUAAAGUGGAUUUUCCACAUCAUGGUGGCUUAUGAUGUUCUCUACUUCCUCUGUGACUAUAUUCGUGAAAUACCUCCUAUUUCUCACUACCUUGGAGGCAUUUGGGCAGUCUCGAUGAAGGUCCUGACCGGUUUCGUUCUAGGGGUGUUUAAAUUCCGCGAUUACAAAUCCUUUCUCCGUGGGACGGGAAAAGACUAGGUGGUGUGGGAGCAAAUGGAUUCCCAACGGUAUUCCCCAGCGUUCGCCAGCCAUCAGCGGAAACCCUUGCAUUCCUAGGAAUUUGUGAUCGAAGGUCCUCCUCAUCUUCAUCUCCGUCUUCUUCUCCGCCUUCGUUCUCAACCUUCUCCCUAUCUUCAACCUGGCUGUUGUCAUCCACCGCUCCGUCAUUCUUCUGGCAAUUUUUACCGCUGUGCCAGUAAAACGUAGCG